rnacentral:rRNA from 1 species
UGACCUGCGGAAGGAUCAUUACCUAGAGUUUGUGGGCUUUGCCUGCUAUCUCUUACCCAUGUCUUUUGAGUACCUUACGUUUCCUCGGUGGGUUCGCCCACCGAUUGGACAAAUUUAAACCCUUUGCAGUUGAAAUCAGCGUCUGAAAAAACUUAAUAGUUACAACUUUCAACAACGGAUCUCUUGGUUCUGGCAUCGAUGAAGAACGCAGCGAAAUGCGAUAAGUAGUGUGAAUUGCAGAAUUCAGUGAAUCAUCGAAUCUUUGAACGCACAUUGCGCCCCUUGGUAUUCCAUGGGGCAUGCCUGUUCGAGCGUCAUUUGUACCUUCAAGCUCUGCUUGGUGUUGGGUGUUUGUCUCUUGUAGACUCGCCUUAAAACAAUUGGCAGCCGGCGUAUUGAUUUCGGAGCGCAGUACAUCUCGCGCUUUGCACUCAUAACGACGACGUCCAAAAGUACAUUUUUACACUCUUGACCUCGGAUCAGGUAGGGAUACCCGCUGAACUUAAGCA